rnacentral:tRNA from 1 species
GCCUUCAUGGUGUAAUGGUCAGCACAUUGAGCCGGUAUUUCAGAGGUCCGUGGUUCGAUCCCCGGCGAAGGAA